GCUGUUGAUGUAAUGAGACACAUAUACUUGUAAAGUCCUAUACUGUAGAAGUAUGGAUUUUUGAAACCUUGUGGCAAGGUGCAAACUGCAGUGAUUUGCACUGCAUCAAUUCAGUAAUAACCUGACUCUGACUGAACUUAUUCAUUUGUUAUCAGUGUGUGCAGUGAGACAUUUCUGGAUCAGUUUCAUGCUAUGGAGUCCCUUACUGUCUUUUGUUUAUUUUGGGAUUAGAGAGCUGGAGAUACAUAGGUAUAUAGUUGGAAAAAAAACUUGGAGGGUAUGGCUGAGUGAUGAGAUAAGUAUGCCACUUGUAGCUAGGGGUUAUCUGGAAAGAAGACUGUGUCCUUCAAGGUCAGAGAAGAGAGAAGUCUGAAGUUUAUAUACAGGGGCAAAUGAGAAAGCAAAUCUCUUGAAACAUAAGCAGUGGUACUUCCCUGGAGGGAGGAGAUGGGAAUUCUCCUGUUACUCUGAGAAUUGCCAGGUGCCAGAAGUGGUCCACAGUGGUGGUGGACAAUUAUUCUGAGUGACGGCCCUUGCACACGCUUCUGAGUGGUUAUCAUGGGCUUCAUUGCCUUUCUGAAGACCCAGUUCAUAGUUCACCUCCUCAUUGGGUUCGUCUUUGUUGUGAGUGGACUGAUCAUUAACUUCAUUCAACUAUGCACGCUAGUCCUCUGGCCCAUAAACAAGCAGUUUUAUCGACGAGUAAACUGUCGCCUUGCCUAUUCGCUUUGGAGCCAGUUGGUAAUGCUGCUGGAAUGGUGGUCAGGCACAGAAUGCACCUUGUUCUCCGAUGAGGCCACUGUGAAUACCUUUGGGAAAGAGCACGUCAUCAUCAUCUUGAAUCACAACUUUGAAAUUGACUUCUUGUGUGGCUGGACUAUGACGGAACGCUUUGGAGUACUAGGGAGUUCCAAAGUUCUCGCUAAGAGAGAGCUACUGUACGUGCCCCUAAUUGGCUGGACGUGGUACUUCCUUGAGAUUGUUUUCUGCAAAAGGAAAUGGGAAGAAGACAGAGAUACGGUUAUUGAAGGAUUAAAACGUUUGGCUGAUUAUCCUGAAUAUAUGUGGUUUCUCCUCUAUUGUGAAGGAACUCGUUUUACAGAGACCAAGCAUCGUAUCAGUAUGGAGGUAGCUGAAUCCAAGGGGUUGCCUAAACUGAAAUACCACCUAUUGCCCAGAACCAAAGGCUUCACCACUGCUGUCCAGUGUCUCAGGGGAACAGUUGCAGCAGUGUAUGAUGUAACACUAAAUUUCAGAGGAAACAAGAACCCCUCCUUAUUAGGAAUUCUUUAUGGAAAGAAAUAUGAAGCAGAUAUGUGUGUAAGGAGAUUUCCUCUGGAAGAUAUUCCUCAAGAUGAAAAGGAAGCUGCAAACUGGCUUCAUAAGCUUUACCAAGAAAAGGAUGCUUUGCAAGAGAUGUAUAAUCAGGAAGGCGUAUUUCCUGGCCAGCAGUUUAAACCUCCUAGGAGACCAUGGACUCUCCUAAACUUCCUUUUCUGGGCCACAGUUCUCCUCUCGCCUCUCUUCACAUUUGGCUUUGGAGUUUUUGCAAGUGGAUCACCUCUCCUUAUCCUUGCAUUCCUGGGAUUUGUUGGAGCAGCUUCCUUUGGAGUUCGUAGACUGAUAGGAGUAACUGAAAUAGAAAAAGGCUCCAGCUACGGCAACCAAGAAUUCAAGAAAAAGGAAUAACUGACAGCUGCAGUUCAGCACACAUAACCAGACUAUGGUACCUGAUUAACUUCAGUUAAAAAAAAAAACACUUAGAAACUAUCUUUUUCUUAAUAACUGAUGACUAAUAUUAAUGAAUAAAACUUGAGCCAAGAAUGAAGAAUUUGGAGGCAUCAACUGAAAAGAACGCAUCAACUUUCUGCCUGUUUAAGGAUUACUGUAGUCAAACUAUGGGAGAAAAUCUGGGGUGGGGGGGAGGAGAAAGUUAAUUUUUCUUGCUUUGUUGGGGGUUUGGGGGUGGGGGGAGAAGAGAGGUCAUUGGGCAUGGCCAUGUGCAUCGUCAGAUGACUGAAUACACUGGUUUCUGUCAAGAGCACUACACUCACUUUUACAACAGGAGCCAUUGAAUGUUUCCUCUUGCUAAAGCCAACAUAGCAUUUGUUGAUUUUCAACUUUUUUUAUUAAUGAUCCAGGAAAAACCAACCAUUCUUUAAUUAAUUAUAGAUGUUCACUGGAUUAGUCUCUUUGGAAAGGUUGUGUUUUCAUGGCUACAGAUUAAAUCCUAUUUGUAUGUUACACUGAUACGUUUUAUUUUCAGGCAACAUCUAAAAACUUCUAUAAUGCAAGAGAACACAUAAUGGAGCUUGGAAGCAGUGUGUUACUGAUCAGCACAUGACGUAGAAACAGAUCCACUAGUAUUAAGAGAGUAUAAAAUUGUCAUCGUAUCUCCUGCCAACUGCUCAAGGCUGUUUAAUUUCUAAAUAUUACCCCAGCCUUGAGUGUUAGCCCCGUUUCACAUCAUGUGUGUAUGUAAUUUUGAAUCUGUUUAUGUUUGUUUUGUUUUCUGAAUUAAUUUUGACCAUGGGAUUUGGAGUUGUGCAAAGAAGGAAAUUUAUUCAGUUGUCCUGAUGUUUUUUUCCUUUUAUUUCUGUCAUCACCAGAGUCCAGUUCAACCAAGAUCCCUCAGUAAACUGGGGGAUAACAGCAGAAACUAGCACAAUAGUUUUUAAAAUGUUAUAUUUUACAAGAAUUCUGACAGGAGAGGUCUGUAGCAAUCAGAUUCCAAAUACCGGCAUCUCUUGAACUUCUAAUGGGGGUUUUGACAUUGAUUCCAAUGGGGGCCAGGAUCUUACCCGGUGUGCUGUAAUGGUAGGGUGUGCUGCACUUUCUACUUGGUUGUGGUAUAGAUAUUAAUGUGAAGAAUAUUGCAAGGUGAGUUGUGCUAUUAAGCAUUAGAAUGAGUGUGGGGUCUCUUCAGGGAUUUAAAUAUCUUUAGUUUUGCUUGUUGUCCUUUGGAUUUUUUCACUAAAAUAGAGAUUGGAAUCAUGGCUGUACCUCUUAUUUUUUCAUAAACGCACAUUUUAGGAUUUUUGCAGAUUGCUGCUGUAUGCACAGCUGCAGAAUUAUUCUCAAGUAGAUGGGAGCUACCUUUAUGUUUAAGUCUGAAGGCCGAAAUCUGCAUUUGGCUACACUCAGGAGUUGGUGAAAUGGGUUGCAGAUCUACAGCUGAGGGCAGAAGCCAGGUCUGCCAUUUUAGCUGCCACUUAGAAUAUUUAUCUCACUUUUGCAAACAGCAGAUCUUAUCAGAGUACUGAUUAUUUUUGUCUUUGCUCUAGCAACCACAAUAAGACAGUAAUCAUCUACCUUCUCUUCAUAUUUACUCUGUUAGAAUGUAACCUCUUCUCCCACAGGUUUUUCUGUCUAGAAGAGCAAUUUUGUAACUUGGAAAAAUAUUUUACUGUGGAUCAUUAGUCACUGUUCUGUCAUGCACUUGAUUUUUAUUGGUGGUCUUUCCAACCGAGUGAUUUGAAGGAUGACCUGUUGUCUGUCUCCUGAGACUCAUUCUCACUGAAUCGUUGUACCUGUAGCUCCAGCAUUAGCAUGUCAUCUUUCUACCCUACAAAAAGUCUUCCCUAAGACAGGGGAUACAAAACUGUUGUUCUUGGUGGUGGAAAUUGGAACAUGAUUUGGGAAUUGAGGAGAAUAGAUCCUAGCCACGACUCUGUUUUACUUACUGAGUGUCUUUGUACUCUGUCUUUAAAUAUGGUUAGAAUUCUAAAUGAUGAUAAAUAUAACUCUGAUUUUUCCCUGUCUUUUUUUAACCAGAGGGCUAAAAACAGUGAGCUUUUCUUUCUUUUCAUUUCCCUUCCCCCUCCCCCUUUUUUUCCCCAUAAGUAAUUCAGUAAUGGAUAUAAUUGUUGUUUGUUAGAAAGAUGUUACAGAUGCUGUAUACUUGCUUCCUGAAGAUGGUAUUGAGUAUAUAUAAACUGUACCAGCUUAGCAAAGUGAGGCUUGCAAAGCAGGCUGACCACUGGCUGUUUAAUACUUACACUUUGGGUGGUAUAUUAAUAGGGCAUGACAAGAAUUUGACAAAAUAAAUCCCUUCUUAAUGUUGAAAAGAGGGGGAGUGCUUAAAGGAGAAGGGAAUUAAUAGCCUUUCUCUUUAUGGGGUUCUUUUCUCCUCUUAGUGCAUGUAACUCCUUAUUAGGAAUCACGGGAUUAGUGCAUGUACAUCAAGGGGAGAAUAAUCAAUGUUUCAUAUUUUCUUACUGGUCAUGCUUUCUUUUUCAAAAUAUAAUACAUGCAUCAUCGUUUACUUAAUUUGCUCUUCUAAACGGACAUAUCAGUAACCAUUUGGAAAAUCAAAAUAUACAGUAAUGUACAAAACAGUGAAAAACAACACAAAUCUCUUCAUUUUGAAUUUUAUCUCCUCAAAUAGGAGUUCUUUUAUACGCACGAGUGCACACAUACACAGAGUAUGUAUAAAUUAAAAUGACUGAAGUUAAUGUCACUAACAAAGAUUAGCAGGCGGCUUGGAUUGGAAAAGUGAGCAUAGAUUUUAUAUCUUACACUAUUUUCUUCUGGUUUAAUAGAUUAUAGCUUGUAUAUUUGACUACCAAGCCCUUUAAGAGCAAUAAUAAACAAAAAUAUAUCAUGUUUUUUGUCUUUUACUUUUCAACCAUGCUAAGUUUAAUAAACUUAAAGCUGUAGGAUCAUUCUCUCUCUCCACCUUUCAAAACAUUCAUUUAUUGCUUGAUUGUUUAGAUUAAAUGCCAUGUCCUCCAGUAUGGACCUGCAAGCUGACUGUCAUGGAUCUCAGCAUUGACUCUGAAGGUGACUAAUACGGGCCAUGGCAGCACUUAACAUUGUCGUGAAGAACAACGAUAUUGCUCUCAAAGUGGGAUUUGCAGUUCCAAGAUAGCAUCACGUUGACCUACGUCUUAAGAAGCUGGUGGGAGAGCUCUGAGGCUACUGGUGUUGUGAUGUCUCACAAUUAGGAAGGCACAAAAAGCUGAUGCUGAGGGAGGAUGGGUUGUGAUAUGUCUGGAUAGCUGAUAUCCAGAGGUCUUGGCUCAGUAGGGAUUACAGUUCUCUGUUGCUCAUUGUGGGCUGAAUGUGCUCUUGCAAUUGACUUAGUGUUAUGGAGCAAAAUAUUUGUCUCUGGCACAAAGAGCAUGGGCGACGUUCCUUUGUUCUGCUUUAACUUAUCUUGAAGGGCUCUACACUUAAUUGCUGACCAAUGAAUAUGACUACUACCUUUUGUCCUAAUUGCCUAGUGUUCACAGAAAAAAAAGUGAAUGUGUCUGCUCACUUCCACGUGGUGCCACUUGUCACAUCUACUGAUGUCUGUAUACUUGCUUGCCUGUAUUUUCUGCAGAUGGUUCAGUUACGACCUCCUGGCUGGAACUCGGAGCUUUCCAGUUCAACUAAUACUGAAGAUAUCAUUUCACGUAGCUGGGUUUUUGUCUUUCUGCAUUUUGGGCACUGGCUGACGUGCCCAGUAGGUCUGAAGUGACAUAAUUGUUUAAGUCUACUGAUGAUGCAACUUUGCUGCUUCUGAGUAAAACUUUGUUAGGGAGACGUACCGUCUUUCCUAGGCCUGCCUCACAUAGGCCCUGGUAACAGGUCUCUCUCUGGCAUCGAUGAAUCAAUGAAACCAAUAAAUGGGAUUUCACUGAAGCUGGAGCAACUAACAAGGAGGGGUCAAGGUACAACUGAUAAUUGCUAAAGGUAUCGUUUCUGUCUGGGACUACCCCAAAACCUGUAUUCGCUUCACAUACGUUUUGAUUAGAGAAACGUGGGGUUGGAGGCUUUUAAUAAUGCUGAAUUCACACUGUGCAACGUUUCAGAUUGAAGACAAUGUUCACAUACCUCGGCAUCUUGGAGAAGUACAUACUCAGUAAGUCUAAGGUCAACAUCGGACAGACUUAGCCCAACUGUGUUUCAUACAGAUGCUGAAGGCCAAUGCAAAUACAACUGAAAAAUCCAUUUCUAGGUUCCCUUUUGGAAAUGGGACGCAUUGGAGUAUCUCACAGCGUUUCCUGGAUGCCCAUGUACUUCUGUCACUUGGUAUGAAGUUUCUUGCUCGCCGUAGUCCCAGUUGUGCGAUCCUGGCUUAUGCCUGGGAUAAGCCCAAUCCUCUUCAUGGUAAUGCUGAAUUUGUACUUCGAAGCAGUUUGUCACAGCUGCUUGUUUCCUUAUUUCUGAACUUUUGGAUCCACAAUGGGCUGCUCUGGAGCUGCCAGCACUGGGUGAAGCUGGGGUUUGAAGCAGGUACUGGGUGAAGCUGGGGUUUGAAGCAGGUAACAGUCGUGCUGAGAGCUGCACCCUGCAUAGCUGAAUGGAAGAGGAACGCGGACAGAUACGGCCAAAUUCUUGCCCCCAGGAAAUGGAAGGAUUGCCAGGAGCUUUGUAAACCAGAGAUGAGCAUGUAUGCGGGCGGGCAAAUUCUGAUCUGUAGCAUGAAUGUGAAACCACUUGGUGACAACUUACAAGGUAACCCUCACUAUUUUCAUGCAACUGGGGUCAGAAUUGGUCUUGAAGGGCCUAUCUGCUUGUUUCAGAGGGCAACUUUUUUGUCACACCCCCUAUUUAUCUUGAAGAACAGUUUAUCUGAUUGUCUCAGUGAUCUCUGCACCAAGAUCCCUGCAGAUUUAAAUAAAUA